UACGGGGGGGGCAAGCGUUGUUCGGAAUUACUGGGCGUAAAGGGCGCCUAGGCGGCCUUCUAAGUCGGACGUGAAAUCCCUCGGCUUAACCGAGGAACUGCGUCCGAUACUGAAAGGCUUGAAUCCGGGAGAGGGAUGUGGAAUUCCAGGUGUAGCGGUGAAAUGCGUAGAUAUCUGGAGGAACACCGGUGGCGAAGGCGGCAUCCUGGACCGGCAUUGACGCUGAGGCGCGAAAGCUAGGGGAGCAAACGGG
rnacentral:rRNA from 1 species